rnacentral:rRNA from 1 species
GAACGCUAGCUACAGGCUUAACACAUGCAAGUCGAGGGGCAGCAUGGUCUUAGCUUGCUAAGGCCGAUGGCGACCGGCGCACGGGUGAGUAACACGUAUCCAACCUGCCGUCUACUCUUGGACAGCCUUCUGAAAGGAAGAUUAAUACAAGAUGGCAUCAUGAGUCCGCAUGUUCACAUGAUUAAAGGUAUUCCGGUAGACGAUGGGGAUGCGUUCCAUUAGAUAGUAGGCGGGGUAACGGCCCACCUAGUCUUCGAUGGAUAGGGGUUCUGAGAGGAAGGUCCCCCACAUUGGAACUGAGACACGGUCCAAACUCCUACGGGAGGCAGCAGUGAGGAAUAUUGGUCAAUGGGCGAGAGCCUGAACCAGCCAAGUAGCGUGAAGGAUGACUGCCCUAUGAGUUGUAAACUUCUUUUAUAAAGGAAUAAAGUCGGGUAUGCAUACCCGUUUGCAUGUACUUUAUGAAUAAGGAUCGGCUAACUCCGUGCCAGCAGCCGCGGUAAUACGGAGGAUCCGAGCGUUAUCCGGAUUUAUUGGGUUUAAAGGGAGCGUAGAUGGAUGUUUAAGUCAGUUGUGAAAGUUUGCGGCUCAACCGUAAAAUUGCAGUUGAUACUGGAUAUCUUGAGUGCAGUUGAGGCAGGCGGAAUUCGUGGUGUAGCGGUGAAAUGCUUAGAUAUCACGAAGAACUCCGAUUGCGAAGGCAGCCUGCUAAGCUGCAACUGACAUUGAGGCUCGAAAGUGUGGGUAUCAAACAGGAUUAGAUACCCUGGUAGUCCACACGGUAAACGAUGAAUACUCGCUGUUUGCGAUAUACUGCAAGCGGCCAAGCGAAAGCGUUAAGUAUUCCACCUGGGGAGUACGCCGGCAACGGUGAAACUCAAAGGAAUUGACGGGGGCCCGCACAAGCGGAGGAACAUGUGGUUUAAUUCGAUGAUACGCGAGGAACCUUACCCGGGCUUAAAUUGCAGAUGAAUUACGGUGAAAGCCGUAAGCCGCAAGGCAUCUGUGAAGGUGCUGCAUGGUUGUCGUCAGCUCGUGCCGUGAGGUGUCGGCUUAAGUGCCAUAACGAGCGCAACCCUUGUUGUCAGUUACUAACAGGUUCCGCUGAGGACUCUGACAAGACUGCCAUCGUAAGAUGUGAGGAAGGUGGGGAUGACGUCAAAUCAGCACGGCCCUUACGUCCGGGGCUACACACGUGUUACAAGGGGGGGUACAGAGGGCCGCUACCACGCGAGUGGAUGCCAAUCCCCAAAACCUCUCUCAGUUCGGACUGGAGUCUGCAACCCGACUCCACGAAGCUGGAUUCGCUAGUAAUCGCGCAUCAGCCACGGCGCGGUGAAUACGUUCCCGGGCCUUGUACACACCGCCCGUCAAGCCAUGGGAGCCGGGGGUACCUGAAGUGCGUAACCGCGAGGAGCGCCCUAGGGUAAAACUGGUGACUGGG